rnacentral:misc_RNA from 1 species
UCUGAACGCACUUGUGUGUGC